rnacentral:rRNA from 1 species
UACGAAGGUCCCGAGCGUUGUUCGGAAUCACUGGGCGUAAAGGGAGCGUAGGCGGCAUGGUAAGUCAGAUGUGAAAUCCCGGGGCUCAACCCCGGAACUGCAUCCGAUACUGCCUUGCUUGAGGGUUGGAGAGGUGACUGGAAUUAUCGGUGUAGCAGUGAAAUGCGUAGAUAUCGGAAGGAACAUCAGUGGCGAAAGCGGCUUCCUGGACCAGUACCGACGUUCAGGCACGAAAGCGUGGGGAGCAAACAGG